GCACAACUGUGGGAAGCUGAGGCACGUGUAAGUGUCAAGUGUUCCAGUAGAUUAGAAGGCGCAGAGUCCAGAUCUCUCCUUUGCUUGUCACUUCGUCAAGACCAGAGACGAGUCCUUGAGUUGCCUGAAGACAUGAAGGCUUUUUUGCUGACUUUGGCUGCGCUGGUGCUUUUGUCCCAGGUCACUUCAGGCAGUGCUGAAAAAUGCUGGAAUCUUCGUGGCUCCUGCCGUGAGAAAUGCAUCAAGAAUGAAAAGCUUUACAUUUUCUGCACGAGUGGAAAACUAUGCUGUCUGAAGCCCAAGUUCCAGCCAAAUAUGUUACAGAGGUCUGUGCAAUUCUGACACUUAGCACAUACAUCAGCAUGUAUAGUUUAGUGGGCUAUCUUCACCCAGAAGAAAUAGAAAAGACAAUCCUAAAAUUUGCCUGGAACCACAAAAGAUCUUGAAUAUCCAGAGCAAUCUUGAUAAAGAAGAACAAAGCUGGAAGCAUUGUACUUCUUGAUUUAAAACUAUUUUACAAAGCUAUCUAUGGUAAUCAAAACAGUGUGAAACAGACAUAAAAACAGACACAUAGAUCAAUGGGACAAAAUUGAGAGUCAAGAAAUAAGCCUACACCUAUAUGGUCAACUAAUAUUUGACAAA